UAACACAUGCAAGUCGAGCGAGAAAGCUCUCUUCGGAGAGUGAGUAGAGCGGCGCACGGGUGAGUAACGCGUGGAUGAUCUACCCUGAAGAUCGGGAUAACAGUUGGAAACGACUGCUAAUACCGUAUAUCCUGCAUAUUUAACUUUAUGUGGUAAAGAUGGUCUCUAUUUAUAAGCUAUCGCUUUGGGAUGAGUCCGCGUCUCAUUAGAUAGUUGGUGGGGUAAUGGCCUACCAAGUCUACGAUGAGUAGCAGGUCUGAGAGGAUGAUCUGCCACACUGGGACUGAAACACGGUCCAGACUCCUACGGGAGGCAGCAGUGGGGAAUAUUGCGCAAUGGGGGAAACC
rnacentral:rRNA from 1 species